CUUUGCAGACGACUUAAAUAC
rnacentral:siRNA from 1 species